rnacentral:rRNA from 1 species
GAGCGGCGGACGGGUGAGUAACGCGUAGGAAUCUACCUAGUAGAAGGGGAUAGCCCGGGGAAACUCGGAUUAAUACCGUAUACCUCCUUAGGGAGAAAGAGGGCCUCUCUUGAUGCUCUCGCUAUUAGAUGAGCCUGCGUAAGAUUAGCUUGUUGGUGAGGUAAUGGCUCACCAAGGCUACGAUCUUUAGCUGGUCUGAGAGGACGAUCAGCCACAUUGGGACUGAGACACGGCCCAGACUCCUACGGGAGGCAGCAGUGGGGAAUAUUGGACAAUGGGCGCAAGCCUGAUCCAGCCAUACCGCGUGUGUGAAGAAGGCUCUAGGGUUGUAAAGCACUUUAAGCAGGGAGAAAAAGUUAUAAGUUAAUACCUUAUAACCGUGAUGUUACCUGCAGAAUAAGCACCGGCUAAUUCCGUGCCAGCAGCCGCGGUAAUACGGAAGGUGCAAGCGUUAAUCGGAAUUACUGGGCGUAAAGCGCGCGUAGGUGGUUUGUUAAGUUGGAUGUGAAAGCCCUGGGCUCAACCUAGGAACUGCAUCCAAAACUAACUCACUAGAGUACGAUAGAGGGAGGUAGAAUUCAUAGUGUAGCGGUGGAAUGCGUAGAUAUUAUGAAGAAUACCAGUGGCGAAGGCGGCCUCCUGGAUCUGUACUGACACUGAGGUGCGAAAGCGUGGGUAGCGAACAGGAUUAGAUACCCUGGUAGUCCACGCCGUAAACGAUGACAACUAGCUGUUGGGAGACAAUGUCUUUCAGUGGCGCA